UACAGAGACUGCAAGCGUUAUUCGGAUUCACUGGGCGUAAAGGGUGCGCAGGCGGCUAUGUGUGUGAGGUGUGAAAGCCCGGGGCUUAACCCCGGAAAUGCGCCUCAAACUACAUGGCUAGAGCAUUGGAGAGGGUAGCGGAAUUCAUGGUGUAGCAGUGAAAUGCGUAGAUAUCAUGAGGAACACCAGAGGCGAAGGCGGCUACCUGGACAAUUGCUGACGCUCAGGCACGAAAGCGUGGGGAGCAAAAGGGAUUAGAAACCCCCGUAGUCC
rnacentral:rRNA from 1 species